AUUGAACGCUGGCGGCAGGCUUAACACAUGCAAGUCGAGCGGGGGAAGGUAGCUUGCUACCGGACCUAGCGGCGGACGGGUGAGUAAUGCUUAGGAAUCUGCCUAUUAGUGGGGGACAACAUCUCGAAAGGGAUGCUAAUACCGCAUACGUCCUACGGGAGAAAGCAGGGGAUCUUCGGACCUUGCGCUAAUAGAUGAGCCUAAGUCGGAUUAGCUAGUUGGUGGGGUAAAGGCCUACCAAGGCGACGAUCUGUAGCGGGUCUGAGAGGAUGAUCCGCCACACUGGGACUGAGACACGGCCCAGACUCCUACGGGAGGCAGCAGUGGGGAAUAUUGGACAAUGGGGGGAACCCUGAUCCAGCCAUGCCGCGUGUGUGAAGAAGGCCUUAUGGUUGUAAAGCACUUUAAGCGAGGAGGAGGCUACUUUAGUUAAUACCUAGAGAUAGUGGACGUUACUCGCAGAAUAAGCACCGGCUAACUCUGUGCCAGCAGCCGCGGUAAUACAGAGGGUGCGAGCGUUAAUCGGAUUUACUGGGCGUAAAGCGUGCGUAGGCGGCUUAUUAAGUCGGAUGUGAAAUCCCCGAGCUUAACUUGGGAAUUGCAUUCGAUACUGGUGAGCUAGAGUAUGGGAGAGGAUGGUAGAAUUCCAGGUGUAGCGGUGAAAUGCGUAGAGAUCUGGAGGAAUACCGAUGGCGAAGGCAGCCAUCUGGCCUAAUACUGACGCUGAGGUACGAAAGCAUGGGGAGCAAACAGGAUUAGAUACCCUGGUAGUCCAUGCCGUAAACGAUGUCUACUAGCCGUUGGGGCCUUUGAGGCUUUAGUGGCGCAGCUAACGCGAUAAGUAGACCGCCUGGGGAGUACGGUCGCAAGACUAAAACUCAAAUGAAUUGACGGGGGCCCGCACAAGCGGUGGAGCAUGUGGUUUAAUUCGAUGCAACGCGAAGAACCUUACCUGGCCUUGACAUACUAGAAACUUUCCAGAGAUGGAUUGGUGCCUUCGGGAAUCUAGAUACAGGUGCUGCAUGGCUGUCGUCAGCUCGUGUCGUGAGAUGUUGGGUUAAGUCCCGCAACGAGCGCAACCCUUUUCCUUACUUGCCAGCAUUUCGGAUGGGAACUUUAAGGAUACUGCCAGUGACAAACUGGAGGAAGGCGGGGACGACGUCAAGUCAUCAUGGCCCUUACGGCCAGGGCUACACACGUGCUACAAUGGUCGGUACAAAGGGUUGCUACACAGCGAUGUGAUGCUAAUCUCAAAAAGCCGAUCGUAGUCCGGAUUGGAGUCUGCAACUCGACUCCMUGAAGUCGGAAUCGCUAGUAAUCGCGGAUCAGAAUGCCGCGGUGAAUACGUUCCCGGGCCUUGUACACACCGCCCGUCACACCAUGGGAGUU
rnacentral:rRNA from 1 species